rnacentral:rRNA from 1 species
CUACGGGCGGCACCAGUGGGGAAUAUUGGACAAUGGGCGCAAGCCUGAUCCAGCAAUGCCGCGUGUGUGAAGAAGGCCUUCGGGUUGUAAAGCACUUUUGUUAGGGAGGAAAGUCUGGUAGCUAAUAACUGCUAGAUCUGACGUUACCUAAAGAAUCAGCUCCGGCUAACUCUGUGCCAGCAGCCGCGGUAAUACAGAGGGUGCAAGCGUUAAUCGGAAUUACUGGGCGUAAAGGGUCUGUAGGCGGAUUAUUAAGUCGGAUGUGAAAUCCCCGGGCUCAACCUGGGAACGGCAUUCGAUACUGGUAGACUAGAGUGUGCAAGAGGAUGGGGGAAUUCCUGGUGUAGCAGUGAAAUGCGUAGAGAUCAGGAGGAACAUCAAUGGCGAAGGCACCUUUCUGGGGCAACACUGACGCUGAGAGACGAAAGCGUGGGGAGCAAACAGGAUUAGAUACCCGCGUAGUC